rnacentral:rRNA from 1 species
AGAACGAACGCUGGCGGCAUGCCUAAUACAUGCAAGUCGAACGAACUCUUCGGAGUUAGUGGCGCACGGGUGCGUAACGCGUGGGAAUCUGCCCCUUGGUUCGGAAUAACAGUUGGAAACGACUGCUAAUACCGGAUGAUGACGAAAGUCCAAAGAUUUAUCGCCAAGGGAUGAGCCCGCGUAGGAUUAGCUAGUUGGUGAGGUAAAGGCUCACCAAGGCAACGAUCCUUAGCUGGUCUGAGAGGAUGAUCAGCCACACUGGGACUGAGACACGGCCCAGACUCCUACGGGAGGCAGCAGUAGGGAAUAUGGACAAUGGGCGAAAGCCUGAUCCAGCAAUGCGCGUGAGUGAUGAAGGCCUUAGGUUGUAAAGCUACUUUACCCGAGAUGAUAAUAGACAAGUAUACGGGAGAAAUAACGCCCCGGACUAACCUCCGUAGCCAGCAGCCGUCGGAAUCGUGACGGUCGGCGU